CCCAUAUCUGUGUCUUUUCCACAAAGGCCUUGGAGGUGCUCCUACAAGGUAGGUUCAUGGUCACAUUCUUCCUGCUCAGCCCAUGGCCAUGGUUUUUCGCUUUUUAUUUUCAUAUUCUCUGCUGUUAAGCCUGAAGCUAGGAAGGUGCAUCAUUCUCACUUGCUUAAACCAGGACAAUGACUUUGUUUAAAUAAAUAUAAUCCUCCAAAAUAUUUUCUUUAUUUUAAAAAAAAAUUUUUAUUGUUAUUUCCCCAAUACAAUUUUUUUUUCUGCUGUACAGCAAGGUGACAUGUAUAUAUACAUGUAUACAUUCUUUUUUCUCCCAUCAUCUUGCUCCAAAAUAUUUUGAUCCUGGACUCAAGGAUCUAUCUCAAAUAAGAAUAUAUGCCACAAGAAUAUACCAUUUUUUGUUCAAUAUGCACUGACUUUCAGAUUAGAAUUCAUUUCAACCAUUUCUUGGCAGUAUGUUGUUGAGGAUAAACAUGAUUUGGGACUUAAAAGAUGCUGGUGAUACUCUGGCUCCCCAGAAAGUGCUAAUCCUUCAUUUUUUCACCCCGACUCAUCCUCAGGGCACUGACCUAUACCAUCUGCCACCUGCCCUGGGAAAAGGAACUUGCAUUUCUUUUUUUUUUAAGGACUGUUCCUGUGAUAUAUGGAAUUUCCCAGUCUAGGAGUUCUAGCUUUAAUCAAUCGGAGUUGCAGCUGCCAGGCAAUACCACAGCCACAGAUGCAGGAUCUGAGCCACAUCUGUGACUUAUGCUGCAGCUCACAGCAACUCGGGAUCCUUAACCCACUGAGUGAGGCCAGGGGAGAGAACCCACAUCCUCAUGGAUACUAGUCAGGUUUGUAACCUGCUGAGCCCCAGUGGGAACUCUGGCAUCUUGCAUUCUCAUGAGGCUUCAAAGAGACAAGAACAGCAGACAUGAGGGCUAUAACUCGGCUAGGCAUCAAACCAGAUCAAAUAUACAAUCAUAGUAGAAGCUAAAUAACAAAUAUUCAGCAUGUUUCUCUGCCUUUCUCAAGCACCCAUCUAUAAGGAACAUGGCCUAUC
rnacentral:lncRNA from 1 species